AUUCCUGCCGGUAUGCUUAUUUUGGAGUUAGCCAAACAGGAUUUCGUAGAUGCACAUAGCGUCCACACAUCUUCUUUCCCACUUACACUUUCACACAGUCCAGAUCCCCUUUCUCCUUUCCUCCGUUGACUACAAAAUUUCUGCCGCUGGAUAAGCUUGUCGUCCUCACGAGCAGCCAUGGCAGCAGCUCGACUCGUUUGUGCCGACGCAGGGUAAUCAUCUACGGCGGCUGGCUUAGCUCCUCGUACGACUCCUCGGUCUCCUAGCAGCUGGGUGCCGUCGCUAUCGGUGUCCGUGCAGUUGAUUUGGGCGUGGAUUUUGUCUCUCGCUACUGUCUUGGAUCCAGCUCGAUUAUGAGGAAGGAGGCAACGUUGUCUUCCCCAAGUGCGAGGCAGACGCAUCGUGGCUAUUCUCGCUCGAUGCUACUCGGCAAGUCGUCGUCAUCCUCCACUGCGUCAACAUUCUUCGAAGUUAGAACUUCGACCUGCUGGUACUCCCUUUUCCCUUUUCCCUACUCUGUCAUAUUUAUAAUGUAAUUUAGGAAAUGUCUGUCAGUGGAAAAUGUUUCUUCAUUUUCCUUUAAAUCUUGGGGAAACAUGCGAUUUUAUUUUUAAGUGCUCUAUAAGUGUCGAAUGAGGUACGUACUAUUAAGUUUGUGAAAUUUAGAAAAUGUAAGUGUAUGUCUGAGUAAAUUUGCUUGGCCACCAAAAAAGGUAGUAAAUUUGCUAAUGCUGUGCAAGAUUGACAUAUUUUUAGUGAUUUAUUUACUGUAUUAAAUUGAAUAUGAAUUUAGAGUGUAUUUAUAUACUAUAUUUAUAGCCAUUUUAUCAUCCUGUAUACUGGCUGCUCUUGGCAUUCAUUCGAUUGACUUAUGCUGAAGUUACUAAAUGAUGACAAUAAGUUUUGAAUGUCAAAUACAUCUCAAGGCAUAGUUUUAAUUUCUUUAUGCCCCCUCCACUUUUUUCGGGCAUGGGACCGGCAUUGGCAGUGUUAGGCCCCCCCUACCCAUAUUAUUAUUCAAAAAACUUAAGAAUUAAUUAGUACAUUUGUGAUUAGCUAUAGUUUUAAUAAUUUUAAAAGAAAAAGGAAGAUUAAAUCAGGUCUGAUUGCAUUCUACAUAUUAAAUAUAAAAAAUGUCCCGACGCUCUCACUAUUGCUUUGCACUAAAUAAUAAGCCUGAAGAAUCAGAUAUCACAUAAUAUAGUCAAUGUUUUGUAGCAAUGAACUAUUUCCACCAAAUGUCGAUUCGUGUUUGCGAUACAUCGGCACUGUUGGAGACCAUAUUUGUCCUGCCAUAUCAUGUGAGCAUAGUGAAGUCGCUUUGUAUUUUUCAUGAUAGUUUGCAAUGUACUAAAUUUCUAUAUAUGCAAUUCUUAUGUAAUAGGCCGCCUCAGCUAGUGAAAGAAGUGUCAUGCUGAAAUUUUGUUAUUUUUUCAUACCUUUACAAUAUUUGUACUAAAUCAACAACAACUAAAUGGAACGGAUGGAGUACGUUCUUGACCACAUCAUCCUCAUUGCUAUCUUCAUCAUUUAUCAUUACCUGCAGUCCAUCCCUUUUUUGUGACUCUUGAGAAGGCUACGUAUAGUUGUCCAUGUGUGAAAACUUGUUUAGGUAGAAAUAGUUCUACCUUGUUUAGAGAUUGCCCCUUGCUUUUCUUGAUAGUCAUAGCAGAGCAAACCGAUAUUGGAUAUUGUCUCCUUUUUUAGAACGAACGGCCAUGCGGAUUCAGUUGGUGACAUGACUAUUCUUGGAAUAUAUAUACCAUUUCUCCCACAUGUGUUCCUGUUGUUAUCUGUGCUUUGAUGAAUUUUCUUCCAAGUUAAAAUUACCAUCCUUGUACAAUUGCAUAACCCAUCACUUUGCUUGAUAUUACAUAGGAGCAUCACAUGUAUUUCCACUUUUAAUUCGAGCUUGUGAUUUAGGAUUCCAUGAAAUUGUAAGCUAUUCAGUAACUCUGCUGGAUAUAACAUUUCCGUUUAUGCAUUUAAGGUUGUUGCCUUGCAUACUGUGUUGCAGUUUAAAUAAAUUUUCUCUUCACCUUGUAGUUGAUCCAUUAUAUAAUCAUUUAUAUCAUAAAUUGUUUCGUUCCUUGGACAUAAUAUUGUUCUUUCUUCUGAGAAAUAUCGCUUGCGAUAGUACCUCCCCUGCAAAUUUGGAUAUGCUUUCCACAUUUUUAUUAUUAUUUCCUUUCUUUAGUAGUAUGGCACUUGGUAUUUUUAUCAUCUCCUCACCUUCUGAUGUUGUAUUUUUUUCCAUCACUAAUAUUCAGAAUCCACUCUGUGAAUUUGCUACCUUUGUUUCUCUGAUUCAUCAUGUGUUGUGCAGUUGAGUCGCAUGCUCUUUGUUAGUUUCAUUAUAUGAAUGUCCCUCUCUUUUCAAUACAAAGAAACGCAAAGUCUUCUUGCGUUUUCUCAAAAAAUUAUAUGAAUGUCCCUCCAAAGAUAUGACCUUUUAAUGGAUGCAGUUACUAUGUUGUGUCUUCUUCCCUUUGGUAUAACAGAAAGGAUCUGGCAGAAGUCCCCUCCUGGAACCAUUGUCAUGCCCCUGAAUGGUCGCUCAAUGUUGUUCACAUUUUUAUGCCUUAAUAUAUCCCUGAGAGUCCUGUCUAGCGCUUCAAAAUAUAUCUUGUUUGCCAUUGGAGCCUCGUCCCAUAGUAUUAGCGACAUCUUUUUUAGUGUGUCUAUCAAGUGUGAACCUUGUUUGAUGUCACAGGUUGACUCUUCUUUAAGAAUUAGGUGGAUGUGGAACCUUGAGUGCGCCGUUCCAUCUUUGUGUAGAAGCAGCACUGCAAUAACACAUGACACCACUUCUGUUGAGCAAGGCUAUAAUUCUGUGAAGAUGGUACUUACUGGAGGUGGUUUGAUCGCUCAACUGAGCCGAUUGCAGUUGAGGCGAGUCAACAGGAGAAUGGGCCAUUGGAGGGCUGGUUGCCGCUGGAGGAAGACAAUGUCAAAGUGCCACUUGUUGGAUAUGCGGGGUGAUCUGAAGUCAGACAGGACAAUCAAUAAUUGACGCUUUUUAAAGGGAAGGUAUUUUAGGUUGGCUGAGUUAUUUGACAUGUGCACGACGGAAAGAGAGAUUGUUUCGAUCGUGAGAGUUUUGUUCUAUUUUUAGACAGAUUUUAUCUCUUUACACGAUCGUGAGAGGUUGGUUAUAUUUUGAAAAAUUGUAUCUCUACACGACCGUGAGAGUUUGUUUCUAUUGAGAUUGUAUCCCUUAUUGCUUAAAAAAAGGAGAUUGUAUCCCUUGGUUUUUGGAAAUAUGCCAACUGAAUUAAGAAGUUUUUUUCCCUGCAAAAAAUAUA